rnacentral:lncRNA from 1 species
CCGCCCCCGCAAUCCAGUAGGAUCUCGUCUUCACUUGAUUACAUCUGCAACAGCUAUUUCCAAUCAAGGUCAUAGUCACAGGUUCCAGGUGGACUUGAAUUUUAGCUGCUAUUCAACCUGAUAGAGACUGCUGUCAACCCAUUUUGCAUAUGAGGAGACUGAGGCUCGGCGAGGUCGCUCAGCUAGUGGGUACUGGGAUCUGAACCCAGGCCGACUCCCUCCAAAGCCCGUGUUCUUAGCUGCCUCCCUGGAACACAGAAAGACAGCUCCAGGCCGUUUGUGUGAAUAGCCUUGAGGUUUCCUUGUGUGGAUACAGUGUGUCAAUGGCCGCAUGGGCCUCUCGCUGUGGAGGAUGGCCUGGACUUCCUUACCGCAUGGCGACUGGGUUCCAAGAGGAUCAGCUCCAAUGUGCAAAUGCUUAUUAAGACUCUGCUUGCAUUGUAUUUGCUAGGAUCCCCUUGGCCAAUGCAAGCCACACGACCAAGCCCAGAGCCAAGGGAACCACCUGAAAGGCGUGGUCCACUGGGGGCCACCAUGGAAGUCUACCAUCUUGCAUUUUGGGGUAGAGGGCGCCAUUGCUACAUGUUUCCCUAAAGCCAGAUAAUCUGGGGAGCUGGGCUCUUGACCAAAGUCCUCUCACUCAUCUGUCAGCUUCUGCAACUCUCUGUGAGCCCUGCCAGUUAAUUCACCUGUGGUAACUUGAACUAACAUUUACACCCAGCAGUCCCAGAAGCCGUGAGUUAUUUACUGUCUGACGUGGGCUUGAUCCUCCACGAUGGCCUUGUUCUAAAGCUGGAGCCGUGCUUUCCUUUGGCCUUGAUGUGAUUGGGGAUUGAUGACUUCUUUUCUUUUGGUAGCUCUCUUCCUUUGCUGCACGAGUGAUGUGCCUUCAUUCUAGAAAAUAUAGACAAACAAAAGGAAGAGAGUUGAAAUCUCCUAUAGAGGCAUGUCCCUUCAAGGAAGCACUCAUUGCCCAGAUGCUGGGCGUGCUGUUGGCGGCCAGCCUUCAGCUGUCUGCGCCUUCAGGGGUGGCCUCAGCUGCCAUCAGAGCUGCCUCAACUGACGUCACAUGCUUUAUGGCAUGGCUCACAUCCCAUGACUGACGGAUCCAGGAGGCAUAAAGGACUGUCCUAGGUCUGACGCGCCCUGCAUCGAAGAUCUAGCUGUCCCUCGGGCCGCUUCCUGCUUCCUGUCUCUCCCUUCCACAGCUGUUGCUCCCGAGAGCUGUCCUCAGUAAGCACGCUUUGCGCUAAAGUCCAUCUCAGGGGCUGCUUCCUGGGAACCCACGUGCGACGUCACAUGUCAUCAUCUCCUCCUUGGGAGAUAACCGCUGUGAACGUUUUGACACUUUCAAGGCGAUGCUUUAAAAUUCUCUCCCUCUUGGGGCUGGCCCCGUGGCCGAGUGGUUAAGUUCGCGCACUCCGCUGCAGGCGGCCCAGUGUUUCGUUGGUUCGAAUCCUGGGCACGGACAUGGCACUGCUCAUCAAACCACGCUGAGGCAGCGUCCCACAUGCCACAACUAGAAGGACCCACAACGAAGAAUAUACAACUAUGUACUGGGGGGCUUUGGGGAGAAAAAAGGAAAAAAAAUAAAAUG